CCUUCCUCACAGGGAGAUGGGAGUUAAUCUUCCCAAGCCCUCCGUUAAGGAUUAUUCUAGAGACAGGGGCAGCAGACCCGUUUGUGAGUGGGAGAAGCCGAGAGGACACGUUUUAAAAAGAACGCUCUGGAAUUCUUCACUUCAUCUGAAAGGAGAGUCUGGUUGACUAUAAAUAGCACAUGCCUUGAAAUGGAGGAGAAUGCAGGGAAAUCUUUGGUUUCCAAAUUCAGGAUGGACUGGCUGGUCUUAAGAAGACAAAAGCAUCACUUCAUGGGACCCCCUACUGCCCACCUUGUCUCAGUCUCCCCCAAGAUGAACCAUCAUCUGAGGAGGAAGGGACCCAGCACCAGUACGUCCCCCUCAAGUUCUUGGAAAUCUUGUAUUUGACUUUCUCCUGCACUGACUGUCCUUGAAAGUUUGCCUCCGAUAAGCCUGGUAUAGCUGUGAAGAGCCCAGGAGCAUGCCUUCAGAGACCAUCAGCCUUGGAACUUUUUCUCUACCAAAACUCUUGGUUUUAAACUAUUUUGCAUUAAGGUAACAAUGCCUGAUGGAUAAAAGGAUGCAGUGUGGGUCUCAUUUAGUCUCAGCCCCAGAUUAGGAUGAAAAUCAGUGAGUCUGCUGCCAAUGGAGGGUCAUGGUCUGGGAGAAAUGGUCAGUCCCAAAUAUGCAGGCCCCAUUGUGGCCUCAGGUCAGGGACAAGCACCAGGCAUAUCCAGGUUUACUCCAAGUGACCAUAGCAUAAUUCCGCUGUGAAGUGGGUCCGCUCCUGAGACUUACGGCUUCUUUGAGACUAAAUGCUCCUGUUAGAUCAUGAGGUCCUGGAGAGCUGUUCCUUCAACACACGUUUCCCUGUAGGUCAGCGCCUGAGUGCUCUUGGCUCAAAUCUCACCAUCCAGUCCAGCUGUGGAACUGCCAGCUCAGGCUGACCUGGGGCCGUGGUGUUUCCACCCAGCUCUGGCCCUUCCCUCCUCUCUCCUGUUCCCGCAGCCAGGCUCUCCCACCUCCCAGCUCCAGCAACACAGAUGCUUUCCUAUGGGCAGAAGCUUUUCACCUGGGAAGAUUUCUCUAAAUCUUUUUAAGGAGUUCCUCAUAACUUUUCAGGCUUGAUGCUUUCAACCGAGACAUUUGUGUGAAUGUAUUCACUGUUGUGUGGCGGGGAUGGGCUUGCCCAUCCACCUACCGGGCUGUGGGGAGCCGCUUUGUGAAGGGGCAUUAUUACGUGGUCUUUAUGGGCAGCAAUUCGUGCACCCAGAAAACAGGGGCCAUUUUCAUUUCCUUUGUGUCCUUGGAGGCUUGAAACAACGUGAUGGCAUGUGGGCACUAACUAGAUGUGAUAAAAGCCCUUUACAACUCUUGCCUUUUUUU